rnacentral:rRNA from 1 species
AUACGGAGGAUCCGAGCGUUAUCCGGAUUUAUUGGGUUUAAAGGGUGCGCAGGCGGGAGAUUAAGUCGGCGGUGAAAUUUUGGAGCUCAACUGGUAAAGUGGCCUCGAAAAUGGUUUCCUUUAGGGUAGCUGAAGUAGGCGGAAUUUGUGGUGUAGAGGUGAAAUGCAUAGAUAUCACGAGGAACUCCGAUUGCGCAGGCAGCUUACUAAACUACUACUGACGCUCAGGCACGAAGGCGUGAGGAUCAAACAGGAUUAGAUACCCUGGUAGUCCACGCAGUAAACGAUGAUUACUAGCUGUUUGCGAUACAAUGUAAGCGGCUGAGCGAAAGCGUUAAGUAAUCCACCUGGGGAGUACGUUCGCAAGAAUGAAACUCAAAUGAAUUGACGGGG